AGUGGCGAACGGGUGAGUAACACGUGAGCAACCUGCCCCUCACUCUGGGAUAAGCGCUGGAAACGGCGUCUAAUACUGGAUACGAGACGCGACCGCAUGGUCAGUGUCUGGAAAGAUUUUUUGGUGGGGGAUGGGCUCGCGGCCUAUCAGCUUGUUGGUGAGGUAAUGGCUCACCAGGGCGUCGACGGGUAGCCGGCCUGAGAGGGUGACCGGCCACACUGGGACUGAGACACGGCCCAGACUCCUACGGGAGGCAGCAGUGGGGAAUAUUGCACAAUGGGCGGAAGCCUGAUGCAGCAACGCCGCGUGAGGGAUGACGGCCUUCGGGUUGUAAACCUCUUUUAGCAGGGAAGAAGCGAAAGUGACGGUACCUGCAGAAAAAGCACCGGCUAACUACGUGCCAGCAGCCGCGGUAAUACGUAGGGUGCAAGCGUUAUCCGGAAUUAUUGGGCGUAAAGAGCUCGUAGGCGGUUUGUCGCGUCUGCUGUGAAAUCCCGAGGCUCAACCUCGGGCCUGCAGUGGGUACGGGCAGACUAGAGUGCGGUAGGGGAGAUUGGAAUUCCUGGUGUAGCGGUGGAAUGCGCAGAUAUCAGGAGGAACACCGAUGGCGAAGGCAGAUCUCUGGGCCGUAACUGACGCUGAGGAGCGAAAGGGUGGGGAGCAAACAGGCUUAGAUACCCUAGUAGUCCACCCCGUAAACGUUGGGAACUAGUUGUGGGGUCCUUUCCACGGAUUCCGUGACGCANCUNACGCAUUAAGUUCCCCGCCUGGGGAGUACGGCCGCAAGGCUAAAACUCNANGGAAUUGACGGGG
rnacentral:rRNA from 1 species